rfam:Oryza glumipatula chromosome 9, whole genome shotgun sequence.
UUUAAGUGCAACCAUAAGUUUUCGUGCCCAAUUUUAAUUGUCCAUCUUAUUUAAUUUUUUUAUAUUUAGUAUUUUUAUUGUUAUGAGAUGAUAAAAUAUGAAUAAUAUUUUAUAUGUGACUUAUGUUUUUUAAAAUUUUCAAAAAAAAUUAAAUAAGACGGACGGUCAAAAUUGUGUACGGAAAAUCAUGGUUGCACUUAAA